rnacentral:rRNA from 1 species
GACGAACGCUGGCGGCGUGCUUAACACAUGCAAGUCGAGCGGUAAGGCCUCUUCGGGGGUACACGAGCGGCGAACGGGUGAGUAACACGUGGGUGACCUGCCCUCAGCUCUGGGAUAAGCCUGGGAAACUGGGUCUAAUACCGGAUAUGACCACAUGUUGCAUGGUGUGUGGUGGAAAGGUUUUUCGGCUGGGGAUGGGCCCGCGGCCUAUCAGCUUGUUGGUGGGGUGAUGGCCUACCAAGGCGACGACGGGUAGCCGGCCUGAGAGGGCGACCGGCCACACUGGGACUGAGACACGGCCCAGACUCCUACGGGAGGCAGCAGUGGGGAAUAUUGCGCAAUGGGCGGAAGCCUGACGCAGCGACGCCGCGUGGGGGAUGACGGCCUUCGGGUUGUAAACCUCUUUCGACCGGGACGAAGCGCAAGUGACGGUACCGGUAGAAGAAGCACCGGCCAACUACGUGCCAGCCGCCGCAGUAACAC